rnacentral:rRNA from 1 species
UACGGGGGGGGCAAGCGUUGUUCGGAAUUACUGGGCGUAAAGCGUGCGUAGGUGGUGAGUUAAGUCUGAUGUGAAAUCCCCGGGCUCAACCUGGGAAUGGCAUUGGAUACUGGCUCGCUAGAGUGCGGUAGAGGGUGGUGGAAUUCCCGGUGUAGCAGUGAAAUGCGUAGAGAUCGGGAGGAACAUCUGUGGCGAAGGCGGCCACCUGGACCAACACUGACACUGAGGCACGAAAGCGUGGGGAGCAAACAGG